CCCGCUCCGACCCUCCCCCCCCCGCCUCCCCAUGAUCGGCUCCUGCGGCUGCAACUUGUCCGCGCUCACCCUCUCCGUGAGAUCCUGCACCUGAUAACCAUACAUGCUGCCUCCUCCUCCUGCAUCUUGUCACCUGCUCCCUUCCACGGCUAUUCGGCUCCCGCUGCCUCCCCCCCCUCCUGUAUCCCGUCAUCAGCCUCCCCCCCAAGGCAAUUGGGCUCCCACUGCCCCCCCCCCCCCCCCCCCGCAAUUGGGCUCUCGCUGCCCCCCCUCCCUCCUGCAUCUUGUUACUAGCAGCUCCUCUUCGCCCCGCGAUUCGGCUCCCACAUGUUGUCACUAGAUACCCCCCCCCCUGCAUCUUGUCACUAGAUUCUCUCACCCCAACCCCCCCCCCCCCCCCUGCAAUUCGGCUCCCACGUGUUGCAUCCCCCCCCCCUCCUGCAUCUUGUUACUAGAUUCCCCCCCAAUUGGGCUCCCACAUGUUGCCUUCCCCCCCAUCCUCCUUUAUCUUGUUACCAGCUCCCCUCCUCGAUCAGUAUCCCACAUGUCAGGAGCACCCGCAUAAUUUUUCCCUCUUCCUCCUGGUGCGUUUGGUUUCCCAACAUGUUACCCGAUCCCCCUGCAACUGGGCUCGGCUCCCGCGUCUAAUUACCUGAUCCCCCCCUACCCCCACGAUUGGGCCCCCGCUUGUUUCCCACUCUCCCACCCACGAUUGGGCUCCUGCAUGUUACCCGGUGCCAGCGCAACCAUUAGGCAGCUGCCUAUGAGUGCCGAGUGUACAAAAAAAAAAGUGAGGCACCCGCGGCGCUCUCUGCUCAUCCGGGUUGGAGCCACAUGUCCGACGCUGAUCCCUCCUCCCCCUGCUGCAUCACGCACCCCGCCCUAAAGACAGGGGUGUGCCAUGAGUCCCCCCCGACUCACGGCAUGCCUCCAUUUACAUGGCGACAUGCACACAGGGGAAGCGGAGGCGUGGACUCGCGCACUCCUCCAUUUCUAUUGAGAUGAGAGGGGAGGCUGGUGAGCAGGCAGACCAGAGAGGGACCGCUCCUGAUUGGCUGCCGGUCCACGGCAGAUUUUAAAUAGUAGCGCCACGGUCAACAUAGGAGCCAGUGCCGCACCAAAGGCCGCCGACCACAGCCUCCUCUUACGUUGCACAACCGCUGCCCUCAGUCCUCCUCUGCCGCCCUCAGUCCUUCUCUGCACCUCCACAACAUCUCCAAAGACCACGGCCUCCUCCUACGUUUCACCACCGCUGCCCUCAGUCCUCCUCUGCACCUCCGCAACAUCUCCAAAGACCACAGCCUCCUCCUACGUUGCACCACCGCUGCCCUCAGUCCUCCUCUGCACCUCCGCAACAUCUCCAAAGACCACAGCCUCCUCCGCCCCGCGCGGACCACAGCCUCCUCAUACACCGCAGCUGCUAAAUAGGUGCUAAAAGAAUUGGAACAAAGUCAUGUUUGUAGCACAAGAAUUAUGUCCAGUGGUCUGUCUCACACAGCCCGCAGCUGGCGGGACCCCUGUUUACAGAUCAGUUUUUCCUUCAGAGUAACACAAAGUGAUGCCUGGGGCUACUAACUGGUGAGCAAGCCACGUAAAGCUGCCCAUGGGAGAAGCAGCUGGUCCUGAGAUCUACACCUGCAGCCCUGAGCGUUUACCCCUGCGACUUGUUCAUCAUAAGGAGUAUAAGUGGCACCCCUUGGGGAUGAGGGGUAUAUGUGGUAUAAACACAGUAUCACCUGCACCAUAUACCAUUAUAAUCUCUGCCUCAAUCAGGUUCCUCUGCAGAGCAGUCACUGUAAGUCGGGUUCCGUUGCAAAACUUGGGCGGAGUCAAGUUCCGCAGAAGAAGGAUCGAAACACCAACAAUCACUGAGCCGAAUGUCAAGUGUCAGUUUUUUCUUUUAUUGCUCCACUCCCCGAUGUCACGUUGAGACAGUGACGUGCGGUGGGGUGAGGCAGAGCCUUCCCUGUCAUACUUACGUUUAAACCAGAGUUUUGACUGAAUAAAGGAUAUGAAAAAUACUAAUAA